AAGAAACAACUGCAGAGGAACAGAGAAUCGAGGAAAAAGAAAUUAAUGAGGACACACACAAGGAGAGGACACAACAUGGACACAGAUGGAGGUAACGGAAAGCUUGAAUGUUUUUUUAGAUAAAGUGGACAAAGAGGAUCAAAAGGACACAGGACAAAAAAGUGGAAAUGAUGAGGAAGGAAUGGAAGAAGCAGGACUUAUGGACAGAGAUAGAUUCGGAAAAGGACUAAUAAGAAUAAGAUCAAUAAAGAUCCUUUUCUUGGUGUGUCUUGAUGUUUUCUAUUGGCUAGAUUUUUUGUAAUGAAUUCCACAGGACAUGCAGGUUUAAAGAAAGAGACUAAGACUCAACAAUGACAUGAUGAGGUCCCCACUGUACAAAGGAGCAUUGAUUACCCUUGUCCUUCUUCUGAUGGCCUUUGUUACAACUGUAGGACUGACACAAGAUGGACUCCAAACCCUUCUCCAAAUGUUAACUCUCGUUUUACCACAAGAUAGCCACCUGUCAGCAACCAAAUAUUUGUUUAAAAACUUUUCAAAACAGGGAAAUGUGAUUUUCAUUUAUAUUGCCCAAAGUGCUGCUGUGUAUUAGAAAAUAAGGUCUUUGAAAAAAAUGAACUAAUGAAAAAUGGUAACUUCUUUACUUUUCCCCUUAUCGACCAACUGAAACAUGUCCUAGAGACCUUAAAUCUUGGAGAGUCGUUAAACUACAGAAAGAACAGAUCAACAAACCCUGACACAAUUUCAGACAUUGUGGAUGGCAAAUUGUAUGAACAAAUGUGCAAAGACUCAAAUUAAAAAAAUUAUUACUCUUUUAGUGUAACUUUUAACUCUGAUGGUGUACCUAUCUUCAAAUCCUCCACUUUUUAUAUCUGGCCCUUGUUGUGUUACAUAAAUGAGCUCCCAUCAAAGACAAGGAAAAAUAACAUUUUCUUAGCAGGAUUAUGGUUUGGUGCGAGAAAACCAACAGUCUCUACAUUUUUUGGACCAUUUGCCAAUCAAAUGAAAACUCUUGGUUCAGUUAGUUUUGAGUGGUGUUUAAAGCAUGAGAUUAUCAAAUCGUAUGUAUAUGCUAUCAUUUGUUCAUGUGACAGUAUCACUCAUGCUAUGUUACAAAAUGUCAAGCAAUUAAAUGGGAUGUUUGUCUGCAACUGGUGUCUACAUCCAGGGGAAAGAGUUGAGAAAGUUAGAGGAUAUGUUCAAGCGUAUCCUUAUCUGGAAGUGAGAGAACGCUGUCACACAAAUAUGAUUGAAUGGCAAAGAAACGUAGCGGUUGGUGAAACUUUUGGUGUGAAAGGUCCCACAUCUUUGAUGUCAUUGCCUUUUUUUGACAUUGUUUCUGGAUUUGUUGACUCCAUGCACUGCGUUGAUUUAGGUGUGAUGAGACAGCUGUCAAUUCUGUGGCUUGACAGCUCUUACCAUAGAGAGCCUUGGUAUAUAGGAACCAGAAUCAAUGAGAUAGAAACAUUGAUCCAACAUUACGAGAAUGCCUAGAUCUA